rnacentral:sRNA from 1 species
UGUAUCUGAAGCCUGACGAGGAUGAGAACCUCCGGGGGCAAGAGGUUCGACCCGAGCGAAGCGAGAGAACGUUGCGUCAGCAACGGCCCGCAGGGCGAGUCAUCCUCUAUCACUGGCAG